rnacentral:rRNA from 1 species
UAUUUCGCACUGGAGGAAACUCUGUCGCAGUGACGCCGCGCAUAGGAAGAAGGUUUUCUGAUUGUAAACUAUUGUCGUGAGGGAAGAAAUUGACAGUACCUCAGGAGGAAGCUCCGGCUACCUAUGUGCCAGCAGCCGCGGUAAUACAUAGGGAGCAAGCGUUAUCCGGAUUUAUUGGGUGUAAAGGGUGCGUAGACGGGAAAUUAAGUUAGUUGUGAAAUCCCUCGGCUUAACUGAGGAACUGCAACUAAAACUGAUUGUCUUGAGUACUGGAGAGGAAAGUGGAAUUCCUAGUGUAGCGGUGAAAUGCGUAGAUAUUAGGAGGAACACCAGUGGCGAAGGCGACUUUCUGGACAGUAACUGACGUUGAGGCACGAAAGUGUGGGGAGCAAACAGG